rnacentral:rRNA from 1 species
GACGUAGGGUGCGAGCGUUGUCCGGAUUUAUUGGGCGUAAAGAGCUCGUAGGCGGCUUGUCGCGUCGACCGUGAAAACUCACAGCUUAACUGUGGGCGUGCGGGCGAUACGGGCAGACUGGAGUACUGCAGGGGAGACUGGAAUUCCUGGUGUAGCGGUGGAAUGCGCAGAUAUCAGGAGGAACACCGGUGGCGAAGGCGGGUCUCUGGGCAGUAACUGACGCUGAGGAGCGAAAGCGUGGGGAGCGAACAGG